ensembl:snoRNA small nucleolar RNA SNORA47
UGGAGGAUUGAGAAGGUUGAGCAGCUUGGUUUGUGCUGUUAUAACUGGUUAUAACCUCCAAGAAUAAAAACAAAGCACACAGUUCAGUCACUCUGCCUUGUGAAGGGCUGAUAUGUGUAUUUGUGAACAAAAC